ACGACCUUACUUGAACAGGAUCUGUUCUAUAGGCUCGUACCUCUGUAUCCUUGAGUUCUAAGGAGACAGGAACCACAGUCAUGGUUGAUGAACCAUGACCGCACGACCAGAGCGUGAUUAAUGUCGCACAGGCCUAUGAUAUGAUGUAGGCCCUGUCGCUGUAGAUGAUCGUUCUCAGCUUGGCCCUUGGCCUGCUGUGGUGGUCGUGCGGUUGUCUGACAGACU